rnacentral:rRNA from 1 species
UACGUAGGGGGCAAGCGUUAUCCGGAUUCACUGGGUGUAAAGGGAGCGUAGACGGCGACGCAAGUCUGGAAUGAAAGCCCGGGGCCCAACCUCGGGACUGCUCUGGAAACUGCGUCGCUGGAGUACGGGAGGGGCAGGCGGAAUUCCUGGUGUAGCGGUGAAAUGCGUAGAUAUCAGGAGGAACACCGGCGGCGAAGGCGGCCUGCUGGACUGCAACUGACGUUGAGGCCCGAAAGCGUGGGGAGCAAACAGG